rnacentral:lncRNA from 1 species
UCGCUGAGGUCUUCUCACGCAUUGACCAUAAGUUUGAUCUGAUGUAUGCCAAGCGUGCUUUUGUCCAUUGGUAUGUUGGUGAGGGCAUGGAGGAAGGUGAAUUCAGUGAAGCACGUGAGGAUCUUGCUGCCUUGGAGAAGGAUUAUGAAGAGGUUGGUGCUGAAGGUGAUGAUGAAGGGGAGGGAGAAGAUGAUGAUGAGUACUGAGCUGUGUUGUAAUAUGUAGAAUGCUUUUCUGCUUUUAUGUUACCAGUUACUGCCUUUAUGAUGCACUAGUAAGACCUUAUAUUUCUUGAGAUUGUUAAAUUCUGCUGUGAUGUUAAAACAUUGGUGUUUGUUUUACUAAGUUCUUUGUUAUGUUUUGCUUUCUCUAUUAUCAUCUUUACCCAGUGAUUUAUCAUUUUUAGGAUAUGAAAAUUUGGAGGGUGUUAAAUUCUGCACGUGAGGACUGCUGAUGUAUUAAAUGGUCAGCACUUAUCCUUCAAAGCUGAAAUUUAAGAAGAAUAGAAAAUUAACUCGCAGUCGAACACGGAACCAAAGAAUAUAUAGUUCUCUUAUAAUGCUCGAACAUCUCUUCUCAAGCCUAAAUGCUCAUUCAUUCCUCCUUGCUGCGUAACCUAGCAAGCUAAAAACAUGAUCUUUACACAAAUAGCCAGCUAGAUUUAUUGUUUUUAGAAAAGUGAUUACUUGGCAGCCAAGACCAAAGACAAGGAAUCUAGUCAUGUUUACCAAAGAAUAUAUAGUUCUCUUAUAAUGCUCGAACAUCUCUUCUCAAGCCUAAAUGCUCAUUCAUUCCUCCUUGCUGCGUAACCUAGCAAGCUAAAAACAUGAUCUUUACACAAAUAGCCAGCUAGAUUUAUUGUUUUUAAAAAAGUGAUUACUUGGCAGCCAAGACCAAAGACAAGGAAUCUAGUCAUGUUUAAAAAGAAAUUGUUGCAUUACCUGCUGUGCAU